rnacentral:lncRNA from 1 species
UAAAAAUAAAAAAGUUAAAUGAUAAUGAAUAAUGACAAAAUGGUAAAAUGGCUUGAAUUUAAAGUACAUAAGGUAAAUGACUUGAAUUUAAAAUUUAGUCCAAACGUUAGUUUAUUAGAUGUUAGUUUUGCUUUUGGUUUUCAAUUGUUUAAGUUAUUCUUUGGAGAACACUCAACCCUCUAUUCACAAGCAUGGAUCCUUGAACCAAGACAUCUUCCAAAGGAAGGAAAAAAGGAAAAGUUUCCACACAAUACCAUGAAAGGGGGGAGACUUACAAUCUCACUUACUAGAAUGCUAUGCUUUUGGGUCAAAAUUUAGCGAUAUGUUAAGCAAUCGUAAUUGGACUUAUGUAGAAGUCACAACUAUCUGAGGUCGGGUAAU